AUUGAACGCUGGCGGCAGGCCUAACACAUGCAAGUCGAGCGAGCGGCGGACGGGUGAGUAAUGUCUGGGAAACUGCCUGAUGGAGGGGGAUAACUACUGGAAACGGUAGCUAAUACCGCAUACCAUCAGAUGUGCCCAGAUGGGAUUAGCUAGUCGGUGGGGUAACGGCUCACCUAGGCGACGAUCCCUAGCUGGUCUGAGAGGAUGACCAGCCACAAUGGAAAUGAGACACGGUGCAGACGGCGACGGGAGGAAGCAGUGGGGAAUAUUGCACAAUGGGCGCAAGCCUGAUGCAGCCAUGCCGCGUGUAUGAAGAAGGCGUUCGGGUUGUAAAGUACUUUCAGCGGGGAGGCGUUACCCGCAGAAGAAGCACCGGCUAACUCCGUGCCAGCAGCCGCGGUAAUAC
rnacentral:rRNA from 1 species